AAGUCGUAACAAGGUUUCCGUAGGUGAACCUGCGGAAGGAUCAAUACCGAGUUUUGAAGUGGGUCUUUGAGCUGGCCGUCAAGGCGGCAUCGUGCUCGGGCCCCGCUCCAUCCACUCAACCCCUGUGCACUCUCGAACUUCGUGUUGGUGUGGGAUGACCACCCGCACGGGUUCGUCUUUAUUACAAACGAUUAUAUUGUCAUUGUCGAACGUGGAAGCCCUUAGGGCGGAAACUCAAUACAACUUUCAACAACGGAUCUCUUGGCUCUC
rnacentral:misc_RNA from 1 species